AGGUAGCUGUGCAAUUUGUUUUGUAUUGAAGUAUAUAUGUGAAUAUAUAUAGAAGAAACAAAUGAGCCGAUCUUGGAGGCAGUAACAAUAUAUUUGUAUAGAUAUUAGACUAGGGUUUUCAAUUAUUAUUGAAGUGAAUCGGUGUUAUUUUAUAAAAACAAAAAAGAUUAAUAAUUCUUUAUUAAACUAUUUUAAGGCGACUUGAUGAUGACAGUAUAUUUAUUAAUCUAAGAUAAAUGAAUUAGAUUAUUUAUUUUAGCUAUGGAUUGUCAUGAUAAGAAGUAGUUAUUUAUAUAUACUUGAUAAAAAUAUUAUAGUUUUAACCGUACCUAUACCGCAUCAGGAGUCUUUGUAUCAUAACAAAUAUUUUAAAUUAAAGUAAGUAAGGGAAUUCGGCAAAUUAGAUCUGUAACUUUGGGAUAAAGAUUGGCUCUAGCAUGCUAGAACUUUUACUAUGUAAGGAAUCUGACUGUUUAUUAAAAACAUAGCUUUUUGUAAUUACAAGAAGUGAAUU
rnacentral:ncRNA from 1 species